rnacentral:rRNA from 1 species
AGGGUGUAAACGCUGCAGACUUGGUGUUGGGAACCCUUCGGGGGUGCUCAGUGCCGGAGAGAAGUUGUUAAGUCUGCUACUUGGGGAGUACGUCCGCAAGGAUGAAACUUAAAGGAAUUGGCGGGGGAGCACCGCAACGGGAGGAGCGUGCGGUUUAAUUGGAUUCAACGCCGAAAAACUCACCAGCAGCGACUGUUACAUGAAGGCCGAGAUGAAGACUCUGCUAGAUUUUCAGAGAGGUGGUGCAUGGCGUCAGUGACU